rnacentral:rRNA from 1 species
UACACGACCGUACCGCAAACCGACACUGGUGCGCGAGAUGAGUAUUCUAAGGCGCUUGAGAGAACUCGGGAGAAGGAACUCGGCAAAUUGACACCGUAACUUCGGAAGAAGGUGUGCCUUUAGUAGGUGAAGGGAUUUACUCCUGGAGCCCAAUGAGGUUGCAAAAAAUCGGUGGCUGCGACUGUUUAUUAAAAACACAGCACUCUGCAUACACGAAAGUGGACGUAUAGGGUGUGACGCCUGCCCGGUGCUGGAAGAUUAAAUGAUGGGGUGCAAGCUCUUGAUUGAAGUCCCAGUAAACGGCGGCCGUAACUAUAACGGUCCUAAGGUAGCGAAAUUCCUUGUCGGGUAAGUUCCGACCUGCACGAAUGGCGUAACGAUGGCCACACUGUCUCCUCCCGAGACUCAGCGAAGUUGAAAUGUUUGUGAUGAUGCAAUCUCCCCGCGGAAAGACGGAAAGACCCCAUGAACCUUUACUGUAGCUUUGUAUUGGACUUUGAACAGAUCUGUGUAGGAUAGGUGGGAGGCUUUGAAGCAGGGUCGCUAGAUCUUGUGGAGCCAACGUUGAAAUACCACCCUGGUGUGUUUGAGGUUCUAACCUAGGUCCAUUAUCUGGAUCGGGGACAGUGCAUGGUAGGCAGUUUGACUGGGGCGGUCUCCUCCCAAAGCGUAACGGAGGAGUUCGAAGGUACGCUAGGUACGGUCGGACAUCGUGCUAAUAGUGCAAUGGCAUAAGCGUGCUUAACUGCGAGACUGACAAGUCGAGCAGAUGCGAAAGCAGGACAUAGUGAUCCGGUGGUUCUGUAUGGAAGGGCCAUCGCUCAACGGAUAAAAGGUACUCUGGGGAUAACAGGCUGAUACCGCCCAAGAGUUCAUAUCGACGGCGGUGUUUGGCACCUCGACGUCGGCUCAUCUCAUCCUGGGGCUGUAGCCGGUCCCAAGGGUAUGGCUGUUCGCCAUUUAAAGAGGUACGUGAGCUGGGUUUAAAACGUCGUGAGACAGUUUGGUCCCUAUCUUCCGUGGGCGCUGCAGAUUUGAGGAAGCCUGCUCCUAGUACGAGAGGACCGGAGUGGACGCACCUCUGGUGUAUCGGUUGUCACGCCAGUGGCAUUGCCGAGUAGCUAUGUGCGGAAGAGAUAACCGCUGAAAGCAUCUAAGCGGGAAACUCGUUUCAAGAUGAGAUCUGCCGGGGCCUUGAGCCCCCUAAAGAGUCGUUCAAGACCAGGACGUUGAUAGGUCAGGUGUGGAAGCGCAGUAAUGCGUUAAGCUAACUGAUACUAAUUGCUCGUGCGGCUUGACCCG